CAUUUAAAUAAUUAAAUAUUAACGACGGAAUUAUUCCGUAGUUAAAAUUAUAAAUUUUAAUUAUUUAAAUAAUUUAAAAUUAACGACGGAAUUUUUCCGUAGUUAAAAUUGUAAAACACGAAUUAUUUAAAUAAUUUAAAUAUAACUACGGACUUAUUCUGUAGCUAAAUUCCUUACAAAAUAAAAUCUCCCCAUUAUCAUCUCACCGCCGAUCUACCCAAUUAGAAUCAGAAUUCAACUAAAAAAUUAUCUGCCGCAUCCUGACUCCUGCGCUCCGGCGCCUCGCCGCCUGACUCCUGCGCCUCGCCACCUGACUCCGGCGCUCCGCCGCUGCGCCGCCUGACUCCACUGCUCUGCCGUCUGACUCCUGUGAGAUCCACCAAGCUAUUUUACUCUAUUGAGAGGCCCCAGGCGCGAGCUCGUCUUCUUCCAAGCCUCAACUCUGCGAUUUCUCUGCAAUUUCAAUUCGAGUUAGGGUUCCCUAAUUAGAAUGGAUGAACUCGUGAACUACGUGGGAGGACGAAUCCAUUACAAUUACUACAAGGCAAUUAAGGAGAUGGAACGCCAUUUCCGUCGUGUGAUAGCGAAGAAGAUGGUUUAUUUGCUUUCGACAUGCACAGCGAUGGUGAAGGUCAGAGGCACUUAAAAGCCAGCAUGAAGGAGAACGACAGAGAUGAGUUGGGCACCAACGGUUCGCUCCUUGGACUCCUGCUCGAGGCCCCGUCCUCGUACUCGUGCAUCUAGAUGAAUGGUAAAGAGGUCUUCCGCUUUGCUGUCCGUGUCGUUCCACAUUCAAUCGAACUGGCCCUAGAGAAGGCAGGUCUUGGUGAACUUUUUCUUGGAUAUUGCUGGCAAAGUUCAAGAGAGUCAUGUCACCAUUAAAGUACCAAACGAGAGCAGGAGGCCCCCAAUGGAUUUCUAUCAUGCUGGAGCAUCACUAUAGGAUAUUAGUUGGAUUUAUUGUUUAAUCAAUUAUGAAUUUGUAUGAGAUUAGUUGAAUAUUACUUUCAAGUUUGUUUGUUGGAUACAUUAGUGGAUUUAGUAGAUGAUUUUCUAAAAUAUUGGAUUGUUGUUGGAUUUUGAGGAAUAUUGAAUUAUUUGAUAUUUAAAA